AUUGAACGCUGGCGGAAUGCUUUACACAUGCAAGUCGAACGGCAGCACGGACUUCGGUCUGGUGGCGAGUGGCGAACGGGUGAGUAAUGUAUCGGAACGUGCCCAGUCGUGGGGGAUAACGUAGUGAAAAUUACGCUAAUACCGCAUACGAUCUAUGGAUGAAAGCGGGGGAUCGCAAGACCUCGCGCGAUUGGAGCGGCCGAUAUCAGAGUAGGUAGUUGGUGGGGUAAAGGCCCCCCAAGCCAACGAUCUGUAGCUGGUCUGAGAGGACGACCAGCCACACUGGAUCUGCGACACGGUCCAGACUCCUACGGGAGGCAGCAGUGGGGAAUUUUGGACAAUGGGCGAAAGCCUGAUCCAGCCAUUCCGCGUGCAGGAUGAAGGCCCUCGUGUUGUAAACUGCUUUUGUACAGAACGAAAAGGUUUCUACUAAUACUAGGAGCUCAUGACGGUACUGUAAGAAUAAGCACCGGCUAACUACGUGCCAGCAGCCGCGGUAA
rnacentral:rRNA from 1 species